rnacentral:lncRNA from 1 species
GCAGGCCGUCAGUUACCCAUCUCUGCUUUCGGCAGCGUCGUUACCCAUCUCUGCUUAGAAGGUAGCAGGCCGUCAGUUACCCAUCUCUGCUUUAGCAGGCCGUCAGUUACCCAUCUCUGCUUUAGCAGGCCGUCAGUUACCCAUCUCUGCUUUAGCAAGUCACUGAUCAAAGAAUGUUCUCCCUUCUACUUUUCUCCCUUCUUCUUUUCUCCCUUCUUCUUUUCUCCCUUCCUUCCAGCUCAUAAAUGAACUGUCAAUGAAACUGGACAUCGUGGUCAUCCUCAACAAAGCUGAAGCUAUAUGCCUGCAGCUGAAGAGUUGUAAGGAUUUGCCCAACUCCGUGGUUGAGAUGCUUGGAUUCAACAGCAGAGACACUGAGUCAUCAUCCCAGUCAGAGGACACUGAGAGAACGGACAGACCAGACUCUCCCGAACCUUCUACACCGUCAGACGACCAGCAGGACUUAGUCUCUGAGUACAACCCCAGCGGCAACAACGGACACUUACGGGACGCAGCGCGUGACGUUUACAAAUUAGCUUACAUAUCGUAGCCAGCCUGGCUAACAGUAGUCUCUCGUCCAGUGAGAGAUUUGGUUCUGGUGGCUGAGACGAGGCUCACAGCCUGGUGAAAAAGGUGGAUUGCGCCUCUCCCACCUCACAGCCCGAGGAGAGAUAGGAAAUGGCUUCUCAUGGCAGUAUCUUUAUAAUAGAGCCCAAGAGCUAUUCAUUUWCAGGAAGUUUUUGCAAAUCAAAUCAUUUUUGUAAUGAUUCUGUCUGUUAAUCAUCUAAUUUUUCUUGUUCGAUGGUGGUCUUUGAGUUUUUAGGAUAUUGUUCCUUAUUGCCCCUGACUCCAAGGUAUUUAGUGUUCAGCAGAUUGCUCCUUAUUGCCCCUGACUAUAAGGUAUUUAGUGUUCAGCAGAUUGCUCCUUAUUGCAUAGGUUUUAGUGUUUCAGCAGAUUGCUCCUUAUUGCCUGACUAUAAGGUAUUUAGUGUUCAGCAGAUUGCUCCUUAGGGCCCCUCACUCCAAGGUAUUUAGUGUUGCAGAUUGUUCCUUAUUGCCCCUGACUAUAAGGUAUUUAUGUUCAGCAGAUUGUUCCUUAUGGCCCCUGACAUAAGGAUUUAGGGUUCAGCAGAUUGCUCCUUAUUGCCCCUGACUAUAAGGUAUUUAGUGUUCAGCAGAUUGUCCUUAUUGCCCCUGACUAUAAGGUAUUUAGGGUUCAGCAUUGCUCCUUAUUGCCCCUGACUAUAAGUAUUAGGGUUCAGCAGAUUGUUCCUUAUGCCCCUGACUAUAAGGUAUUUAGUGUUCAGCAGAUUGCUCCUUAUUGCCCCUGACUAUAGGUAUUUAGGGUUCAGCAGAUUGCUCCUAUUGCCCUGACUAUAAGGUAUUUAGGGUUCCACGAUUGUUCCUUAUGUGCCCUACUAUAAGGUAUUUAGGGUUCACGCAGAUUGCUCCUUAUUGCCCCUGACUAUAAGUAUUUAGGGUUCAGCAGAUUGCUCCUUAUGCCCCUGACUCCCAGGUAUUAGUGUUCAGCAGAUUGCCUCCUAUUACCGGUGUUAAUCUUGACUUACUUGUUAAUCGCUCCUGAAUCGUGUGAAUAGUCAAAAUAAUGCUGAAGUAGUUGACAUUUAAAUAUAGGUGGAAGGGCUGAGAAUGGAUAAGGUUUUAUUAAACGGGGCUUAUUACAUCUCACUGUAAUAUUCAGCUAAUAGGAGCCCUACGGUAGGUGUAAUUCAAUUAGAACUUUCAUGAAGAUGUGGUUGUAUUAUCUCAAGGGCCCCUCUCCUCUACCAAAUGAAAGGAUUUUCUGCCCUGCAGCCUAUUGACAUUUUACACAGUGUACAAACAUAUAAGAACAGAUCUUACAUGAACAUAGACUGACCAGGUGAAACGCAUGACAUAGACUGACCAGGUGAAUGCAUGACAUAGACUGACCAGGUGAAGCCAUGGACACAGACUGACCAGGUGAAUGACAUGACAUAGACUGACCAGGUGAACGCAUGACAGAGACGGACCAGUGGAAUGCAUGACAUAGCUGACAGGUUAACGCAUGUACAUAGAGACCAGGUGAAUGCAUGACAUAGACUGACCAGGUGAAUCCAGGUGAAAGCUAUGAUCCCUUAUUGAGGUCACUUGUUAAAUUCUCUUCAUCAGGUAGAUGAAGGUGGAGGAGACAGUUUAAAAGGAGUGGUUAAUCCUUGAGACAUGGAUUGUGUGCCAUUCAGAGGAUGAAUGGUCAAGACAAAAUAUUUAAGUGCCUUUGAACGGGGUAUGGUAGUAGGCGCCAGCCGCACCAGUUUAAGUGUGUGAAAACUGCAACGCUGCUGAAUUUUUCAACAGUUUCCGUGUGUAUUAACAAUGGUCCUCCAUCCAAGACAUUCAGCCAAUUGAGACAACUGUGGGAAACACUGGAGUCAACAUGGGCCACUAUCCCUGCGGAACGCUUUCGACACCUUGUGGAGUCCAUGUCCCGACGAAUGGAGGCUGUUCUGAGUGCAAAUGGGAUACAACUCAAUAUUAAGAAAGUGUUCCUCAUGUUUGUCCACUCAGUGGUUUUCUAUGCCGCUGACAUCUGAUUUGGUAAGACUGAAAGAGACAUGAUUUAUAUUGAAAAAAUGUAAUUUUGUUUCUGAAUCCAUAGUUGAAUCGUACUAGAAUGUGUGGGUUGGCAUGGUGAUAAUGUAUGUACAAGUAGUUAGAUGUCUGUUCCUCUGGACUGGAGGUUCCCAGAAGUUGCUUCAACAUACACCCAACCUUACAGCAAUGUUUUUUUUUUAAUGAUGUAGAGUUCAUGUUAGCCAACCAUGAGGCCCUUUGUCAACAUGUACAGACAGUCUUACUUCCCUUGUCCGUUAUAUGAUCUGUUAGCUUCACUCGCCUCCCAAAACGGUAGUGAAAAAGGUUCUUGGUGUGUUGAACAUCGACACUGUGGGGAAGAUUGUAAAGGAGUUGAUGUAGUCAUUGAUUAUGUUGCAUGAUGAAAGUCUCAGCCUUCAAGUGAUUAUCAAAACAGUAAUGCUGGAAAACUGUUCGUACCUGAAUCGUUCGGUGUACAGAUUUGUCCAUUGCAGCAGUUUGUACUGUAUAUGUAUUUGAUACCGUCUAUGACAACCAAUUAUGUUUUGAAGUCUUUAAAGAAGCUGAAUUUCAUGACUCCUCUUUGUAUGGCUUAAUGUGGUAGGAGUAUCAGUGUCCCUCUCCCCUCUGUUCAGGUGUCUCUCCUAGUCCUGACAGCCGUCUAUGGGGGAUCUCAAUGGCCUUCCUGAUUUUCAGCAUCCUCGCUUCCUUCCACACGCAUUGGUGAAAUGGUCAUGGGGAGGGAACUCUUACCUUCUCAUCCAAUGGGUUUUAAGAAGGAGGUGAGAAGAGAGGAUGCGAAGAAUCAAGGAAAAGCUGUUGAGGUCUCUCCAUGUCCACUGGCGUGGCCAGUCUGUUCACAGUUCCACAUAUCCUGUGGCUAGAAAUAUAACUAAAUGAACCAUAAUGUCCCAUAUAAUGUCCCUUAUUUUACACUGACACAAAUGGAUAACUAUAUACCUUUUUGUUUUGUUUUCCAAUACAAUGAAUGUCGCCUUUUCAAAGGCUUAAUGUAACAGUGAGACAACGGGAACGUUUUCAGGUUAGUUAUUUACCGAUGCGACAAUGAAUCGGUUGGCUCUCAGCUGAUGUGCUGUUCUCUCCGGUCUCUCUUGUUGUUGGGAGAGAUUUGGAGUCGUUCCUAGAAAUAGAGUCCGCUUCCCAAAUGGCACACAUCCCUACGUAGUGCACUACUUAGCCUAGGGCUCUGGUCAAAGUAGUGCACUAUAUAGUGAAUAGGGUGCCAGUCAGUGCCUGAGAAUCAGCAUCUGAAUAGGACCGUCUGAAUGAAACGGUAUCGCUGGUCUGUUCAGAGCGUGAGCAACAACAAAAACAGCGUGAGGAUUUUCAUAUCCUUGUCCCAUAGGAAAUGACCCAGUUGCUAUGUCACUUUCUAGGCUACAGCCUAAGGCCUAACCUGCGUGCCUGCCUCCUGUCACACAGGAAAGUGGAGGAAAACCAAAAACAAGGAUCUGUUGGCCUCGACUGAGAUAAAAUGAGAUCAUAACAAAACUUUUCUAGCAUAGACUUGGAUAAAUAACCCAGAGAAAAGGAAGUUGUUCUUUGAGAUGAGAGCUAUAGGUGCUAUCGUGGUUUUGUAACAAACUACUUGUGAGUUAUGGAGUAUGGUGUUGGUGAAUAGCUGCGCAUGUUUUGAAAGCCUGCAAAUUGUGGGGGGAAAAAAUAGCACUUUACAAAAAAAUAAAUGUUCACACAUCUUGAGACCACCAGAUGGCUCAUAGCAAGUGCCAGUAUAAUAUAGCUGACACUGCCAGCUGUUGUAAGCCGUCUGAAACAACGCAUAGCUGAACACAGCAGCUCAAUCAGGUAAGAACACUGAACAUCCAUCCAGUAGCAGCUCACUUUGUUGACCAUCCCAUCUCCUCCCUCAAAUACACAGGCGUGGAGCAUGUUGCUCACCAAGGAGAGGAGGUAAGUGGAGAUCCUACUACGACAGAGGGAGGCCUAUCGGAUAUUCUGUCUAACAACAUGGACCCCUAGUGGUCUGAAUAUUGACUUAGAUCUCAGACCCUUCUGAUGAACAAUAUUUUUUUUAUGAACAAGCAUUUAAAAAAUCAAAAUUCUUUCCACAGGUUAUCAUCGUACACCCAUAUGUUCCCCCCUGUUGAUGAUGCUUAUUAGCAUUAGGGUUGAACCAAAAGAUAUUGGAAACAAUUAUGUGUAUGUGGAAUUAAAUUAAACGAUGUAUGUUGAUGCAAUAUUUCUGUACACAUCUAAUUAUGUUUCCAUGUGAUAACAGUAGCCUAUAAUUCAAUAUGCUGCAAACAUUGGUUUUUUAAAACAGUUUCACUCGAUUCAUUCUAAUCAACCUAAUAGUGAUGACACGCCCCUCGCUGUUUGUCAUGGUUGCUCUAAUAGUGAUGACACGCCCCGCUGUUGCAUUGGUUGCUCUAAUAGUGAUGACACGCCCUCACUGUGUCAUUGGUUGCCUAACUGACAUACCCCUCACUGUUGUCAUUGGUUGCUCUAAUAGUUAUGACACGCCCCUCACUGUUGUUAUUGGUUGCUCUAAUAGUUAUGACACGCCCUCACGGUUGUCAUUGGUUGCUCUAAUACUAAUGACAUACUCCCUCACUGUUGUCAUUGGUUGCUUAAACUAAUGACAUACCCUCACUGUUGUCAUUGUGCUCUAAUAC